rnacentral:pre_miRNA from 2 species
ACAUCCCGGCACAGUUAAUGGCACUGGAAGAAUUCACGGGGUUUUUCAAUACAACCCGUGAUCUCUUAGUGGCAUCUAUGGUGCGGGACUCA